rnacentral:lncRNA from 1 species
AGAGGGUUGGGGCCAUGUGACAUCAGUGACACACCCAUAAGAGGGUUGGGGCCAUGUGACACCAGUGACACACCCAUAAGAGGGUUGGGGCCAUGUGACAUCAGUGACACACCCAUAAGAGGGUUGGGGCCAUGUGACACCAGUGACACGCCCAUAAGAGGGGUGGGGUCAUGUGACACACCCAUUAGCAAGGGGCCGUCCAUUGGCUCGCCUGCAAGGGAGGCGGGGUCCAGUGACAGGCCCAUGCGUGUAGUGACACCUAAAGGCACGCCCAUGCGACAGGUGGAGCCUAUGAAUGAGUCUACAGCGGAACCUGCAGCUGCUUCUGUAACUAUGGCAACAGACUCCGCCAUGUCACAGGAGCCCACGGUCAGAAGCUCCAUCCAGAGUCAGGAGGAAAGCACGAUGUUUCCCAGCGGUUUGAGCCAGCAGGUAAAUGGCUCUACAUUCUGUAUGGUGUCAAACGGUUUGGCCUUCCUGGCGGAUGAGGAGUACCUGACCAUCAGCUCCCUCACAGACUCGACCACUGAUCCCUCACACACACACACUCACACACACCCCUCACCCUCACACACACACACUCACACACACCCCUCACCCUCACCCUCACACAGACACACUCACACACAUCCCUCACCCUCACCCCCCACACACACACUCAAACACACCCCUCACCCUCACCCACCCACACACACACUCAAACACAGCCCUCUCAGUCCACACACACAUACUCUCACACUCAACCUGCACAUACACAUUCUGACACACAGUCCACACACACACCUGCACCCACACAACCAUCACAAACACAUGCUCACACACAACCCUGUUACACACAUUCUCACUCGCAACCUACACACACUCAAAUCCAUAUGCAGCCCUCUCACACACACACCCACACACAACCUCUCCACUCCCCAGCCUUACACACACACACUCCAACCCUGCCAACCCUGCCCUCACACACACACACUCCAGCUCCCCUCACACACUCACACACCCCUACCCUGCCUUCACACACACACACUCCUGUUUCCCCUGCACAAACACACACCCCUGCCUCACCCUCACACACUCCCAUUCCCCCUGCACACACACACACCCCUGCCUCACCUUCACACACUCCUGUUCCCCCUGCACACACACACACCCCUGGCCCGAGCCCUGCCGAGCUGCCGCCUCCACAAGCUCCUGGUCGCAAACUCGGCUGGCUGGAGGAGGAAGAGGACGAGGACGAGGAAGACCCUCACAGGGAGGUGCUUAAGGAGUUUGAGCUGACCGUGACGUUGUCUAAGUCAUGGAGUGGCAGUUUUGGCUUCACCAUCAUGCGCAGUAAGCUGGACGGCUGCUACUACGUGCAGGAGGUCCUGGACAACCCUGCCCGCUCCGACGGGCGACUCCGAGGCGGAGACAGACUCAUUAUAGUACGCACACACACACAUACACACACUCACACGCACGCACACGCACACUCACACACACACUGACACUCUCACAGACACACACUCACACACACACUGCCAUUCACACACACACACACACACACACACACACACACACACACACACGUACGCACACUCACACACGCACUGACACUCUCACACACACACACACACACUCACACACACACUGCCACUCACACACACACACACACACACUCACACACACACACGCACGUACGCACACUCACACACGCACUGACACUCACACACACACUGACACUCUCUCACACACACACACACACACACACACACACACACACACACACACACACACACUCUCAGUCACAUACAUGGAGACCCUCUCUAAUCAGCUUAUCUUCUCCCACCCCACAGGUGAAUGGACAUUACGUAACCACGGUGACGGAUGACAUGGCGAUGAGCAUCCUGCGCUCAUCGUCACGGAAACUGGUGAUGGUUUUGGGCCGGGCCGUCCAGAACCUCGUAGCCCCUCCCUCUGCAGACAGCCUACCUGACAUCAUCCUGCACAAAACAAUCACUGGACAGCUAGGUCUGUGUGUGCUUGUCUGUAUGUGUGCGUAUGUGUGUGUAUUUGUGUGUUUACAUCUGUUUAUGCGUUUGUGUGUUUAUGUGUGUGUGUAUGCCUGUGUUUGUGUGUGUGUUUAUGU